rnacentral:rRNA from 1 species
CCUACGGGAGGCAGCAGUGAGGAAUAUUGGUCAAUGGACGAGAGUCUGAACCAGCCAAGUAGCGUGAAGGAUGACAGCCCUAUGGGUUGUAAACUUCUUUUAUAUGGGAAUAAAACGUUCCACGUGUGGGAUUUUGUAUGUACCAUAUGAAUAAGGAUCGGCUAACUCCGUGCCAGCAGCCGCGGUAAUACGGAGGAUCCGAGCGUUAUCCGGAUUUAUUGGGUUUAAAGGGAGCGUAGGUGGAUUGUUAAGUCAGUUGUGAAAGUUUGCGGCUCAACCGUAAAAUUGCAGUUGAAACUGGCAGUCUUGAGUACAGUAGAGGUGGGCGGAAUUCGUGGUGUAGCGGUGAAAUGCUUAGAUAUCACGAAGAACUCCGAUUGCGAAGGCAGUUCACUGGACUGCAACUGACACUGAGGCUCGAAAGUGUGGGUAUCAAACAGGAUUAGAUACCCCUGUAGUC